rnacentral:rRNA from 1 species
GACAGAGGGUGCAAACGUUGUUCGGAAUUACUGGGCGUAAAGCGUGUGUAGGCGGUCCACUAAGUCGGGUGUGAAAGCCCUGGGCUCAACCCAGGAAGUGCACUCGAAACUGGCGGGCUAGAGUAUCGGAGAGGUUGGUGGAAUUCUCGGUGUAGAGGUGAAAUUCGUAGAUAUCAAGCGGAACACCGGUGGCGAAGGCGGCCUUCUGGGACAGUGACUGACGCUGAGACGCGAAAGCGUGGGGAGCAAACAGG